AAUCAAAAGAUUCAACUGAAAGAAAUAUAAUGAACGUAAGUAGAGUAGAGUUGUAAUACUGGGACUCCUUCUCCACUUCCACCUCUCCCUCCCUCCCUCUCUCUCUCUCUCUCUCUCUCUCUCUCUCUCUUUUCUCGCUCUUCCCAGAAAUGCUCUGAAUUACUUAACUUGGAAUCUCUGCCAAGAACGAGUUAGCCAGUACUAAUAUUCAGGUGACGUCUAGCUAUCAUAAAGCCUGGAAAAUACAGUGGUCAAUAGCUUACUCAUUGAUCUCCACCUAAGAACUUGACAAGUACUGAAUUCGGCAAAAUGUCUUCUGAAGAUGGGGGAAAGCUCUUGACACUAGUGCAAAAUCGCAUAGAAAGGUGUCUCCGCCUUUAUAUGAACCAAAGGGAAGUUAUGAACACUCUGUUCAUUCACGACAACAUAGAGCCACAUGUUACUGAAAUUGUUUGGCAAAAGCUGGAAGAAGAAAAUCAAGAAUUCUUCAAGGCAUAUUAUCUAAGAUUGAUGGUGAAAGAGCAAAUCAUGGAAUUCAACAAGUUGCUUGCAGAACAGGUGGAGUUGAUGCGUCGAUUUGGGUCAGCAGGGAUAGCAUCCAUAUCUAUGUCUAAUGGAUCUCAUAUUGCACCAACACAACAAAACUUGGGUGUUUGUAGAGCUGCAGAAAAUGUUGGCCCUACUUUGAGGGCGGAGAACAUACACCAGCCUAUUUCUGCCAAUUUACACAAUGUUUUCAGCAACUGUGGGUCAUCAAUGCAGUCAUCAUGUGUCGAAACAGCUAUUAAUAUGGCUUCUCAUAGCAGAAACGUUGAUGUUUCUGCAAAUAUGUUGUUGGGUCAGAGCUCAAAUAGGGCAAUAACACCUGUAAUAGAUGGAGGGAUGAUUAAAUCAGAACCUAGCUACGCUGGCAAUUCUUCUUUUGAGUUUGGUGCACAUAACAAUCUUGUGGAGUCUCGUUCUGCAUUGGCUGAUGCAUCUGUCUCAUCUUUCAGUAGUGUGGAGUCCAAUUCACAACCCUUAAACGAAACUCUGAUUGAUGCUGACACUUCUUCAUUUGGGUUUUUUGGGCAAAUUUCUCAACAUUUUGGCCUCUCAGACCUCGGAGCUGAUUUUGCCAAUGGUUCUGACAUGUACUCUAGCCCACCCUUCAUGACAGCUGAUUCAGGCAACUUUCUUGACCCCAAUGAGAUUGAAAGGUUGAAUACUGCACCAGAAAGCUUGAGAUACCAAGAUCUUGGUGGUGACUAGCUAAUGUGCUAUUUGCAGUGAAAGCAAAGAGGCAGCAGAGAGGCAGAGUUAGAAACUACCAUCACUACAUGAAGUAGUUUCUUGAGAGGACAUUAUAAUCCGUCUGUCACGUUUGCUGCUUUCCGCUGCUUGUGCCAAGUCUUAUAAGAACAAAACUCCGAGAUAGGCAGAAUGAGGACCAAACUUCUUGUAAAUAGCUUCUUAUAGUGGCUUUGGAAUUUUGCACUCUGUGAAGGUAUAGUUUGAUGUACAUCUGAUAGUACUAAGACGUGAACACCGUAUUUUUGUAGAAUGAGUUAAGAACAGGUUAGCAUAAUUGUUGGAUCUUUUCUUUUCUGGGUUAUGGUUUUAUGGUGGUUAAAGUUGUUAGCAGGGUGCCGUAGCUUUAUUCCCACUGUCCUUUAAAAGCAGAUCGCCUCUUUAUUUUGGUGA